UACGAGGGGGGCGAGCGUUGUUCGGAAUUAUUGGGCGUAAAGGGUGCGUAGGCGGUUUGGUAAGUCUUAUGUGAAAUCUAUGGGCUCAACUCAUAGUCUGCAUGAGAAACUGCCGGGCUUGAGUAUGGGAGAGGUGAGUGGAACUGCGAGUGUAGAGGUGAAAUUCGUAGAUAUUCGCAAGAACACCAGUGGCGAAGGCGGCUCACUGGCCCAUUACUGACGCUGAGGCACGAAAGCUAGGGGAGCAAACAGGAGUUAGAUACCUGUAGUCC
rnacentral:rRNA from 1 species